rnacentral:rRNA from 1 species
UUAAGCGACUAAGCGUACACGGUGGAUGCCCUGGCAGUCAGAGGCGAUGAAGGACGUGCUAAUCUGCGAUAAGCGUCGGUAAGGUGAUAUGAACCGUUAUAACCGGCGAUUUCCGAAUGGGGAAACCCAGUGUGUUUCGACACACUAUCAUUAACUGAAUCCAUAGGUUAAUGAGGCGAACCGGGGGAACUGAAACAUCUAAGUACCCCGAGGAAAAGAAAUCAACCGAGAUUCCCCCAGUAGCGGCGAGCGAACGGGGAGCAGCCCAGAGCCUGAAUCAGUGUGUGUGUUAGUGGAAGCGUCUGGAAAGGCGCGCGAUACAGGGUGACAGCCCCGUACACAAAAAUGCACAUGCUGUGAGCUCGAUGAGUAGGGCGGGACACGUGGUAUCCUGUCUGAAUAUGGGGGGACCAUCCUCCAAGGCUAAAUACUCCUGACUGACCGAUAGUGAACCAGUACCGUGAGGGAAAGGCGAAAAGAACCCCGGCGAGGGGAGUGAAAAAGAACCUGAAACCGUGUACGUACAAGCAGUGGGAGCCUCUUUAUGGGGUGACUGCGUACCUUUUGUAUAAUGGGUCAGCGACUUAUAUUCUGUAGCAAGGUUAACCGAAUAGGGGAGCCGAAGGGAAACCGAGUCUUAACUGGGCGUUAAGUUGCAGGGUAUAGACCCGAAACCCGGUGAUCUAGCCAUGGGCAGGUUGAAGGUUGGGUAACACUAACUGGAGGACCGAACCGACUAAUGUUGAAAAAUUAGCGGAUGACUUGUGGCUGGGGGUGAAAGGCCAAUCAAACCGGGAGAUAGCUGGUUCUCCCCGAAAGCUAUUUAGGUAGCGCCUCGUGAAUUCAUCUCCGGGGGUAGAGCACUGUUUCGGCAAGGGGGUCAUCCCGACUUACCAACCCGAUGCAAACUGCGAAUACCGGAGAAUGUUAUCACGGGAGACACACGGCGGGUGCUAACGUCCGUCGUGAAGAGGGAAACAACCCAGACCGCCAGCUAAGGUCCCAAAGUCAUGGUUAAGUGGGAAACGAUGUGGGAAGGCCCAGACAGCCAGGAUGUUGGCUUAGAAGCAGCCAUCAUUUAAAGAAAGCGUAAUAGCUCACUGGUCGAGUCGGCCUGCGCGGAAGAUGUAACGGGGCUAAACCAUGCACCGAAGCUGCGGCAGCGACGCUUAUGCGUUGUUGGGUAGGGGAGCGUUCUGUAAGCCUGUGAAGGUGUGCUGUGAGGCAUGCUGGAGGUAUCAGAAGUGCGAAUGCUGACAUAAGUAACGAUAAAGCGGGUGAAAAGCCCGCUCGCCGGAAGACCAAGGGUUCCUGUCCAACGUUAAUCGGGGCAGGGUGAGUCGACCCCUAAGGCGAGGCCGAAAGGCGUAGUCGAUGGGAAACAGGUUAAUAUUCCUGUACUUGGUGUUACUGCGAAGGGGGGACGGAGAAGGCUAUGUUGGCCGGGCGACGGUUGUCCCGGUUUAAGCGUGUAGGCUGGUUUUCCAGGCAAAUCCGGAAAAUCAAGGCUGAGGCGUGAUGACGAGGCACUACGGUGCUGAAGCAACAAAUGCCCUGCUUCCAGGAAAAGCCUCUAAGCAUCAGGUAACAUCAAAUCGUACCCCAAACCGACACAGGUGGUCAGGUAGAGAAUACCAAGGCGCUUGAGAGAACUCGGGUGAAGGAACUAGGCAAAAUGGUGCCGUAACUUCGGGAGAAGGCACGCUGAUAUGUAGGUGAGGUCCCUCGCGGAUGGAGCUGAAAUCAGUCGAAGAUACCAGCUGGCUGCAACUGUUUAUUAAAAACACAGCACUGUGCAAACACGAAAGUGGACGUAUACGGUGUGACGCCUGCCCGGUGCCGGAAGGUUAAUUGAUGGGGUUAGCGGUAACGCGAAGCUCUUGAUCGAAGCCCCGGUAAACGGCGGCCGUAACUAUAACGGUCCUAAGGUAGCGAAAUUCCUUGUCGGGUAAGUUCCGACCUGCACGAAUGGCGUAAUGAUGGCCAGGCUGUCUCCACCCGAGACUCAGUGAAAUUGAACUCGCUGUGAAGAUGCAGUGUACCCGCGGCAAGACGGAAAGACCCCGUGAACCUUUACUAUAGCUUGACACUGAACAUUGAGCCUUGAUGUGUAGGAUAGGUGGGAGGCUUUGAAGUGUGGACGCCAGUCUGCAUGGAGCCGACCUUGAAAUACCACCCUUUAAUGUUUGAUGUUCUAACGUUGACCCGUAAUCCGGGUUGCGGACAGUGUCUGGUGGGUAGUUUGACUGGGGCGGUCUCCUCCUAAAGAGUAACGGAGGAGCACGAAGGUUGGCUAAUCCUGGUCGGACAUCAGGAGGUUAGUGCAAUGGCAUAAGCCAGCUUGACUGCGAGCGUGACGGCGCGAGCAGGUGCGAAAGCAGGUCAUAGUGAUCCGGUGGUUCUGAAUGGAAGGGCCAUCGCUCAACGGAUAAAAGGUACUCCGGGGAUAACAGGCUGAUACCGCCCAAGAGUUCAUAUCGACGGCGGUGUUUGGCACCUCGAUGUCGGCUCAUCACAUCCUGGGGCUGAAGUAGGUCCCAAGGGUAUGGCUGUUCGCCAUUUAAAGUGGUACGCGAGCUGGGUUUAGAACGUCGUGAGACAGUUCGGUCCCUAUCUGCCGUGGGCGCUGGAGAACUGAGGGGGGCUGCUCCUAGUACGAGAGGACCGGAGUGGACGCAUCACUGGUGUUCGGGUUGUCAUGCCAAUGGCACUGCCCGGUAGCUAAAUGCGGAAGAGAUAAGUGCUGAAAGCAUCUAAGCACGAAACUUGCCCCGAGAUGAGUUCUCCCUGACUCCUUGAGAGUCCUGAAGGAACGUUGAAGACGACGACGUUGAUAGGCCGGU